rnacentral:rRNA from 1 species
AGAUUGAACGCUGGCGGCGUGCCUAACACAUGCAAGUCGAGCGGUAACAGGUGUAGCAAUACAUGCUGACGAGCGGCGAACGGGUGAGUAAUGCUUCGGAAUCUACCCAAUGGCGGGGAAUAACUAGCCGAAAGGUUAGCUAAUACCGCAUAAGCCCUACGGGGGAAAGCAGGGGAUCGUAAGACCUUGCACCGAUGGAUGAGCCGAAGUCGGAUUAGCUAGUUGGUAGGGUAACGGCCUACCAAGGCGACGAUCCGUAGCUGGUCUGAGAGGACGACCAGCCACACUGGGACUGAGACACGGCCCAGACUCCUACGGGAGGCCGCAGUGGGGAAUUUUGCGCAAUGGGGGAAACCCUGACGCAGCAACGCCGCGUGGAGGAUGAAGUCCUUCGGGACGUAAACUCCUUUCGAUCGGGACGAUUAUGACGGUACCGGAAGAAGAAGCCCGGCUACUUCGUGCCAGCAGCCGC